CUAAUAAGGGAAUAACAGUUUCGUAUAAUUUCGGGAAUCGGCCCGGAAGUUUCUACGAGAUCACCGUAAAUGAUCUGGCUACGAACAAACAAAAGCGGUAA
rnacentral:ncRNA from 2 species